rnacentral:misc_RNA from 1 species
GGUCUGUAGUCCUUCAUGCACCAUGCUCCUCCCUCUUAGGGGUAAUGACAACUAAUGAAGCAUUCAAACUCUUUUCAAAUACACCACUUCCCUGGAAGUCAACAACUGUAUCUAUUAAAUCAGAUCUGACCAUUUUCCUGCAGUGCUCAAAAAAAUCCGUAGAGGCAUCAGGUGCCAGAGCUUUGUUACUAGCACAACCCUCUACCGCCCUCUUCAACUCUUCCUCCUGAAUUUCCCUCUCUAGCCAUUCACUCUCCUCCCUGCCAAUAUGACGAACCCUAAACCCCCCAAU